rnacentral:rRNA from 1 species
UACGACUACAUAUCAGGCAUAUCAAUAAGCGGAGGAAAAGAAACUAACAAGGAUUCCCUUAGUAACGGCGAGUGAAGCGGGAAGAGCUCAAACUUGAAAUCUUCAAGGUUCUACCUUGACGAAUUGUAGUUUAAAGAAGUGUUUUCUGUUAGAUGAGUAGCAAAAGUUCCUUGGAAUGGGACAUCAUAGAGGGUGAGAAUCCCGUAUUUGACGUUAUUCAUUCUAGCUGUGUGAUACACUUUCAAAGAGUCGGAUUGUUUGGGAAUGCAGUCCAAGAUGGGUGGUAAAUUUCAUCUAAAGCUAAAUAUUGGCGAGAGACCGAUAGCGAACAAGUACCGUGAGGGAAAGAUGAAAAGAACUUUGAAAAGAGAGUUAAACAGUACGUGAAAUUGUCAAAAGGGAAGCGUUUGACACCAGUGUUGUUUUUCCGAAAAUCAAUUACGAAUGGCUUGAUUUUGUGUUGUAUUGACCUUAUCAGCUUUCUUCACUUUUUUCGAGUCUUUCUUAAUGCACUUUUCGGUUAACAAGUCAACAUCAAUUUCUUUUGUUGUAAUAGAGUAUUCGGAAGGUGGCUUUCUUUUCGGAGAAAGUGUUUAUAGCCCUAUACUUCUACAAUCGGAGAGAUUGAGGUCUGCAGCGUAGAUCCUUCGGGGUUAGAUACAUUUGUGCUAAGUUGUAGCUCUUCAUAGACAACUUGUCGACUAUGUUUAGUCAUGCGGCUUACUCGCUUACGCUAUUUUACCUACGCUUAGGAUGUUGAGUAGCGACAUACGCAC